rnacentral:siRNA from 1 species
CUGGUGUAAGUACAAUGUCAUUGG